AAAAAACAUUCACAACCUCAAAAUAAGGAGAAAACCACUGGUACCAUUUAAUCGUAUUUUCUACUAAUGUUUCCUAUCCAUAUAUUUUAUAUAACUAAGGCCCCAGUGUAAAUACACAAAGACUAUUUGGUUUUAUUUUGUACUACUUGGCACUGUAAGGAAGCAUUUUCCAGGCAAGGCAGGCAGUAUGGUUAUCAGAAAAUUAGAAGUAAAAAUCCUCCCAUCACUUUAAGGUCCAUCCCUCCCACCCACCUUAGCCUCACUAGGUCAAAACAAGAACUCACCACAGUUAAAACACAAAAACAGGUAGUCAAGCCUUAACUGAUUUUACCUCAGAGCCUACGGGAUAAGGGCUCUUUUAAUAACAAAGCUUCCAUUUAGGGAUACUGAACUGCCUUCCCCUUCAGAGUCUAUGGGCCACUUGCUUCGAUGUGCAGUUCCCUUUAAACCUUGCUUGUUAGGCACCUGGAAAUUCCUGAGAAGAUCUUUAAGUCAACAAUACAGAUUUCUGAGCCUUGACCAGAACUGACGUCCCCUCCCUGCCUCCCCGAAGCCUCUUCCAAAGGCAGUCUGCCUGGGGUGAUAAUGGGAUCCCAGCCCCGGAGGGAGCGCCCAUCCCGACUUACCACCACCCAAGUGCCAGAAGGGAGCUGCCAGCUGGAGGUGGCUUUUCCUGCCCUUGAGUGAAGGUGUUCGUUGACCCCCUCAGACUUCUGACAGCUCCCUCAAAAACUGCUUGCCAAGGGCAGGAGUCCUUGUCAAUGGGCACCUGUCCUCUCUGGAAAUCUGUAAAUUCUCUUUGAAUAGUUUAUAUUUCAAUUAGGUUACUGUGCAUAAUUACGGAGGGUGACUCACGGAGAGAUGAAACAGCUUAGAGAAAUGAUCACAUCUAUACUAUAUUUAUAUGCACACACGUAGACUGUCCAUAAAGUACAAGUGUAAAGAGUAUGUGUACGUGAAAACAUACUAUAAAGGAGAGCGAGCCAGACUUCAUUCUAGAUGACAAUCACCCCACCUGUCCCUUAUGAUCCAUGGGCAGGUGUGGAAAUGACAGCCUCCCUCUGAAGCCCCACCAGACAGUACAGAUCGUUUUCAACUUACAGUGGGGUUACCUCCUGAUACACCUAUCAUAAGUUGAAAAUACUGUAAGUUGGAAAUGCAUUUAAUACACCUAACCUACAGAACGUCAUAGCUUUGCCUAGCCUACAUUAAACAUGCUCAGAACACUUACGUUAGCUUACUGUUGGGCAAAAUCAUCUAACACAAAGCCUACUUUAUAAUAAAGUGUUGAAUAUCUCAUGUCAUUUAUUGAAUACUGUACUGAAAGCGGAAAACAGGAUGGUUGUCUGGGUCCAGAAUGACUGUCAGUGUAUUGACUGUUUACCCUCAUGAUCGCAGGGCUGACCCGAAGCUGAGACUCGCUGCCACUGCCCAGUGUCACCGGAGAGCAUGCCGCCAGCCCAGGAAAAGAUUAAACUUCAAAAUCGAAGUACGGUUUCUGCUCACUGCCUAUCACUUUCACGCCAUCCUAAAGUCGAAAAAUUUGCAAAGCAAGGAAGAGUGGCGUUGGCCCAGUAGUCCAGAAGCUCUUAUCCAAGAGAUGAGUGAAGGGAGGUUCUAAGACCCUCCUUGUUUUACCUCUGAUCCCAGAGGCUUGAACCCCCAAAGGUCAAGAUGGUGGCCUCCCUUAGAGCCGUGAAGGAUGGGCCCGGAGCAAACUAAGCUGGGCCUGGAUGCAGAGAAAUACUGUUUACGUGAGAAUCUAAUCUGCUGGGUAUUUAUUGAAGAGAUUUCUAGAAGCAAAGAACAAGCUCUUAUGAGGAAACUCUCACCAUGGAAGCCUGUUCGGGAGGUAACAGACACCAGCCGUCCCCCGGGAGGGGUCAGUCUUUACCUGGAUAACCCGGAGCAUGGCAGGGGAGGGCAAUGAAAGGAGGAAGAAGGAAAAUUUGUUUCCAUUAAAAGCUCCUAGCAGGAUGCUUUGGAUAUGAAGGGCAAAGCACUGGAGGAGAAGACAGGAUAGGAUGGACGUGGGCCCUUUGGAUUUGCCAGAGGAAAAAAAUAACGUGUAACUUGGAAAUGUAAUAAAACCUUCAAAAGUACGUACCACAACCUAUGUCCAUUGCAGGAACUCGGCUGUGUUUCUAUCCAUUCCACACAGUUUAUGCACCUGAGUCGUCUGCUCACCUGUGUCACAUCACGGCCACGAGCACAGGCUUUGGGACCACACAGCUCUGGGCGGGAUCCCAAUUCUGUCACCCACCAGCUCUCCACCCUGGGGCUCAGGGUCCUCACCUGUAAAGA